AGGAUAAAAUCGGGGACUGGACUCGGGCUCAGAAGGAGUAGAGCUGCUAACAGACCCUGCUCCUGUCAAACACUGCUGCCAUCCCAGGAGGAAAUAUCCCAGCCCUAGAGGCACCUGUGUAAAGCAAAAGGACAUCUCUCGGCACAGCCACGAAGGUGAAGUGGAAGAGGACCCUGAUCCCUGCCACACCAAGCGUCCCCAUGCCAGCUGCUGAGGUACCAGGGCCCUGUGGCUUUGGAUGAACUGCUGGAGUUUUUAAUGCACGUCAAGAGUACCUUUCUUGUCUUCUAAGCCUAAAUACCCUGAAAAAGUGGCAAUUUAUUAUAGAUUUUCAACCAGGCCUGGAAAAAUCUUCUUGCAAAUCU